rnacentral:rRNA from 1 species
UACGUAGGGUGCAAGCGUUGUCCGGAAUUAUUGGGCGUAAAGAGCUCGUAGGCGGCUUGUCGCGUCUGCUGUGAAAACCCGAGGCUCAACCUCGGGCCUGCAGUGGGGUACGGGCAGACUAGAGUGCGGUAGGGGGAGAUUGGAAUUCCUGGUGUAGCGGUGAAAUGCGCAGAUAUCAGGAGGAACACCGGUGGCGAAGGCGGGUCUCUGGGCUCAACCUGACGCUGAGGCGCGAAAGCGUGGGGAGCGAACCGGG